rnacentral:rRNA from 1 species
AGUGAACGCUGGCGGUAGGCCUAACACAUGCAAGUCGAACGGCAGCACAGUAAGAGCUCGCUCUUACGGGUGGCGAGUGGCGGACGGGUGAGGAAUACAUAGGAAUCUACUUUUUCGUGGGGGAUAACGUAGGGAAACUUACGCUAAUACCGCAUACGACCUACGGGUGAAAGCAGGGGAUCUUCGGACCUUGCGCGAUUGAAUGAGCCGAUGUCGGAUUAGCUAGUUGGCGGGGUAAAGGCCCACCAAGGCGACGAUCCGUAGCUGGUCUGAGAGGAUGAUCAGCCACACUGGAACUGAGACACGGUCCAGACUCCUACGGGAGGCAGCAGUGGGGAAUAUUGGACAAUGGGCGCAAGCCUGAUCCAGCCAUACCGCGUGGGUGAAGAAGGCCUUCGGGUUGUAAAGCCCUUUUGUUGGGAAAGAAAAGCAGCAGGUUAAUACCCCGCUGUUCUGACGGUACCCAAAGAAUAAGCACCGGCUAACUUCGUG